rnacentral:rRNA from 1 species
AGUCGAACGGCAGCACGGGAGCAAUCCUGGUGGCGAGUGGCGAACGGGUGAGUAAUGUAUCGGAACGUACCUUUCAGUGGGGGAUAACGUAGCGAAAGUUACGCUAAUACCGCAUAUUCUGUGAGCAGGAAAGCAGGGGAUCGCAAGACCUUGCGCUGAUUGAGCGGCCGAUAUCAGAUUAGCUAGUUGGUGGGGUAAAAGCCCACCAAGGCGACGAUCUGUAGCUGGUCUGAGAGGACGACCAGCCACACUGGAACUGAGACACGGUCCAGACUCCUACGGGAGGCAGCAGUGGGGAAUUUUGGACAAUGGGCGCAAGCCUGAUCCAGCAAUGCCGCGUGCAGGAUGAAGGCCUUCGGGUUGUAAACUGCUUUUGUACGGAGCGAAACGGUCUUCUCUAAUAAAGGGGGCUAAUGACGG